CCUACGGGUGGCAGCAGUGGGGAAUAUUGGACAAUGGGGGGAACCCUGAUCCAGCCAUGCCGCGUGUGUGAAGAAGGCCCUCGGGUUGUAAAGCACUUUCAGUGAGGAAGAACGCCUGGUGGUUAAUACCCAUCAGGAAAGACAUCACUCACAGAAGAAGCACCGGCUAACUCCGUGCCAGCAGCCGCGGUAAUACGGAGGGUGCGAGCGUUAAUCGGAAUUACUGGGCGUAAAGCGCGCGUAGGUGGCUUGAUAAGCCGGUUGUGAAAGCCCCGGGCUCAACCUGGGAACGGCAUCCGGAGCUGUCAAGCUAGAGUGCAGGAGAGGAAGGUAGAAUUCCCGGUGUAGCGGUGAAAUGCGUAGAGAUCGGGAGGAAUACCAGUGGCGAAGGCGGCCUUCUGGACUGACACUGACACUGAGGUGCGAAAGCGUGGGUAGCAAACAGGAUUAGAUACCCCUGUAGUC
rnacentral:rRNA from 1 species